rnacentral:rRNA from 1 species
GACAGAGGUGCCGAGCGUUAGGCGGAAUCACUGGGCUUAAAGCGUGUGUAGGCGGCCCGUUAAGUGUCUUGUGAAAUCCCCCGGCUCAACCGGGGAACUGCUGGGCAUACUGGCGGGCUUGGGUCGCUCAGGGGCAGACGGAACAGGCGGUGGAGCGGUGAAAUGCGUAGAUAUCAUUUGGAACGCCAACGGCGAAAGCAGGCAGCUGGGGAUGCACCGACGCUGAGACACGAAAGCCAGGGGAGCGAACGGG